rnacentral:rRNA from 1 species
AACGCGUGGGUGACCUACCUUGAGGAUGGGGAUAGCUGUUAGAAAUAGCAGGUAAUACCGAAUAAGUUCACAAUAUUAUGAUUAUGUGAAGAAAGGAGCUACGGCUCCGCCUUGAGAUGGGCCCGCGUCCCAUUAGCUAGUUGGUGAGGUAAAGGCCCACCAAGGCGAAGAUGGGUAGCCGGCCUGAGAGGGUGAACGGCCACACUGGGACUGAGAUACGGCCCAGACUCCUACGGGAGGCAGCAGCUAAGAAUAUUCCACAAUGGACGAAAGUCUGAUGGAGCGACGCCGCGUGGAUGAGGAAGGCCGAAAGGUUGUAAAAUCCUUUUGCGGAUGAAGAAUAAGUGGUGGAGGGAAUGCCAUCAUGAUGACGUUAGUCCGCGAAUAAGCCCCGGCUAAUUACGUGCCAGCAGCCGCGGUAACACGUAAGGGGCGAGCGUUGUUCGGAAUUAUUGGGCGUAAAGGGCGCGUAGGCGGUCGCGUAAGUCUGAUGUGAAAACCCCGGGCUCAACCCGGGAACUGCAUUGGAAACUGUGCGACUUGAGUCACGGAGGGGAAAUCGGAAUUCCUGGUGUAGGGGUGAAAUCUGUAGAUAUCAGGAAGAACACCGGUGGCGAAGGCGGAUUUCCAGCCGAUGACUGACGCUGAGACGCGAAAGUGCGGGGAGCAAACAGGAUUAGAUACCCUGGUAGUCCGCACUAUAAACGAUGCACACUAGGUGUCGGGACGAGCGUCUCGGCGCCGGAGCGAACGCGAUAAGUGUGCCGCCUGGGGAGUAUGCCCGCAAGGGUGAAACUCAAAGGAAUU